AAUUCCUCAGAUUCAUUGCUAUCCAUGUUUUGCGUUUCUAUGGCGUGAAACAAUGGUACAAGUAUAUCGAGCAUACGAUUUGCUGCUCAUGUGACAUUGAAACUGCGCGCAAGAGCCAUUGUACAUGAUUGCGCACUCGCCGGCUUCAGGCACUGUGUUGACUUUGCCCGUCUAGCGCUCUACUUUACACGCAAGGUUAUAACCCUUAUGUUAUUAUAUAAACACAUUCUAUCUAUCCAAAAUUAUGGUGUAAUAUUACUGAUAAGUGAUGUUCACUUAUUAAUUCAUAUGGAAUAUUUCUUGUGGAAAUAACGUUCACAUUUUCUUUAACCAGACCAAGCGUAAAAAGUACUAUGAAUUAACAAUUGCUAUUGUAGGAAAACGUUGUUUUGAAACGAUAACAAUACCUGCCACGAUAAUCUUAAGUGACAAUCAGAUAACAAUCAUGAAACUGUCAAGAUCAUGAUAAACUUAGUCUAUAUAAACUAUUUAUAUCGUUAUUUUUGUAUGCCCUGAGAAGUUUUUUAUUUGGCCUUCGCCUUGUUGCGGAUUUUUAGUGGUACUUAUUUAUUUUACUGGCAAGGAGAGUGAGUCUUUGACAACAGACGUAGAAUGUCAUGGAAAUAUUUCGCCAAAGAUGCUAAAAAAGAUUGUCAAAAUUGCGUGUUUUUUUUUUUUUGUGUAGGCACUAUAUUUACAUCAAUUAAGGACGAAGGAUUGCUUAGCCCUAUCAAGGUUUUGAUAUUAGUCGUGGGCAUGCACUGUCUACAUGACCGUUGGUGAUGACGUAUAAAAGCGCCAGGUUGCCGAAGAUAUUAUAACUAAACGGAGAGAGAUCUGGAGAUAUAAAUUGUUCAUUUUUAAGUGCCUACAAUAUGAAGUAUAUACAUCAAAGUGAUCACUGCUGAAAAUAAACCGAAGUUAUCAAUCUUA